AAGGAUCAUUACAGUAUGGAUUAAGGGGUUGGAUGCUGGCCCCCUUACGAGGGCAUGUGCGCACCUCUGCUUCUAAUCUUUCCAUGUUAUAAACACCCGUGCACCUAUUGGUGAGCGCCUCUCCGUUCGGAAGGCGUUCCCUUUUUUCUUCUUAUCACACCUCAGCCUGUUUUAAAAUGCAUGUUUGAACGAGCUCUACGGAGCAGAUGGAAAGCAGCGAUAACUUUCAACAACGGAUCUCUUGGCUUUUGCAUCGAUGAAGAACGCCGCGAAAGCGCGAAACGUAAUGUGAAUUGCAGAAUUCAGUGAAUCAUCGAAUCUUUGAACGCAUCUUGCGCUCCUUGGUAUUCCGAGGAGCAUGCCUGUUUGAGUGUCGUGAAUUCCUUCAAACCAGUCCUUUUGUCGGGAAAGGGUUUGGAUUUGGACGCUUGCCGGGGCUGGCUUUUGCCUGUCGGCUCGUCUUUAAUGCAUUGGUUGGCCUUUCCCUGAAGUCGGUUCGAUCGACGGCGUGAUAUGCUUUAUCGUCGACGUUCGAGCCAUGACGAGGCUUUAUUUGUGGGGGGGAGCCAGCCUAGCUGUUUACAGCAUCUUUGGAACACGUUU
rnacentral:rRNA from 1 species